GGGGAUAUAGCUCAGUGGUGGAGUGUAUGCUUAGCAUGCAUGAGGUCCUGGAUUCAAUCCCCAGUAUCUCUA
rnacentral:tRNA from 1 species